UAGGGUUAGAAAGGAUAAGAGAAAUGGGUCGGGCUAGACCUAACCCAUUUCUUUUUGGACCUAACUAGGCUCGAUUUUUGGGUGGUGGUGGUGGUGGCUGUGGCGGCUGUGGCUAUGGGUUUGUGGGCAGUGGUAGAGAUGAGACAGUGAGGAGAUUUUCGGUGUCUGAGAGAAAGAGAGAGAGUGUGGGA